rnacentral:rRNA from 1 species
UUGGAACAGGGCGUCAUAGAGGGUGAGAAUCCCGUAUGUGGCCAGAGGUCAAUUUCAUGUCAAAUCCCUUCGACGAGUCGAGUUGUUUGGGAAUGCAGCUCAAAAUGGGUGGUAAAUUUCAUCUAAAGCUAAAUACUGGCCAGAGACCGAUAGCGCACAAGUAGAGUGAUCGAAAGAUGAAAAGCACUUUGGAAAGAGAGUUAAACAGUACGUGAAAUUGUUGAAAGGGAAGCGCUUGCCAUUAGACCGAUUCCCCGGUUGCAGUCGGAGGCAACUCUGGACGUAAAGCACCGGGAUUUCGGCCAGCAUCAGUUUGGGUGGUUUGACAAAGACGCACAGAACGUGGCUCCUCGGAGUGUUAUAGCUGUGCGUGUAAUGAAAUCUACCUGGACUGAGGACCGCGCUUCGGCUAGGAUGCUGGCGUAAUGAUGGCAAGCGACCCGUCUUGAAACACGGACCAAGGAGUCGAUCAUCUAUGCGAGUGUUUGGGCGUCAAACCCAUACGCGGAAUGAAAGUGAACGGAGGUGAGAACCGAUAAGGUGCAUCAUCGACCGAUCCUGAUGUCUUCGGAUGGAUUUGAGUAGGAGCAUGGCCGAUCGGACCCGAAAGAUGGUGAACUAUGCGUGAAUAGGGUGAAGCCAGAGGAAACUCUGGUGGAGGCUCGCAGCGGUUCUGACGUGCAAAUCGAUCGUCAAAUUUGCGCAUAGGG